UACGGAGGGCGCGAGCGUUACCCGGAUUUACUGGGCGUAAAGGGCGUGUAGGCGGUCUGGGGCGUCCCAUGUGAAAGGCCACGGCUCAACUGUGGAGGAGCGUGGGAUACGCUCAGGCUAGACGGUGGGAGAGGGUGGUGGAAUUCCCGGAGUAGCGGUGCAAUGCGCAGAUACCGGGAGGAACGCCGAUGGCGAAGGCAGCCACCUGGCUCACUGGUGACGGUGAGGCGCGAAAGCGUGGGGAGCAAACCGG
rnacentral:rRNA from 1 species